UACGUAGGGGGCAAGCGUUGUCCGGAAUCAUUGGGCGUAAAGAGCGUGUAGGCGGCUCGGUAAGUCCGCUGUGAAAGUCCAGGGCUCAACCCUGGAAUGCCGGUGGAAACUGUCGAGCUAGAGUCCGGAAGAGGCGAGUGGAAUUCCUGGUGUAGCGGUGAAAUGCGUAGAUAUUGGAAGGAACAUCAGUGGCGAAGGCGACUUUCUGGACAGAUACUGACACUGAGGCACGAAAGCGUGGGGAGCAAACAGGGA
rnacentral:rRNA from 1 species